UACGUAGGGGGCGAGCGUUGUCCGGAUUCAUUGGGCGUAAAGAGCUCGUAGGCGGUUUGGCAAGUCGGGUGUGAAAUCUCCGGGCUCAACUCGGAGAGGCCACUCGAUACUGCUAUGACUAGAGUCCGGUAGGGGACUAUGGAAUUCCUGGUGUAGCGGUGAAAUGCGCAGAUAUCAGGAGGAACACCUGUGGCGAAAGCGGCUCACUGGACCAAUAACUGACGCUGAUGCACGAAAGCUAGGGGAGCAAACAGG
rnacentral:rRNA from 1 species